AGAGACGUGUUGCAUAGGCGUAGCGAAUCGAGCGAAGCUAGCCAAUCUAGCCGGAAGUGUAAAGAGCGCGCCCCUACAAGCUAGCGAACCUAGACCCCUAGCGUAGCAAAGCUAGCGGCCUUUGGAGGUCCUACGCUUGCUAUUCAAAAUGGCCGACAUUGUUGUCGGUUUCAAGUUUGCAGAUGAGAGUUUCUUUGAUGCUCCCGUUAAAAAGGAGUAUUGGACCGGAUACAAAGUGAAAUGAAUGUGGGAAAUCAAUGGACCAAGGGGGCAUACUUUUCCUCAUGGACACUUAUGCCGAACAUAAGGAACAAUUUGCAAUUCCAACUUGAAAAUAGAGGUAUGGAAGAGGAUUGCUUCGGAAAUGGCAGCCUCAGGAUGCCACUUUGCUCCAGCAGCACUUGAGAGAAAAAUGGAGCAAUAUGAAAAAUAUGAAUGGCUGAAAUCUUGGAAGGAGACCCUUUGUUCAUCCCACCACUGACAUCAUCAUCACUGGGGAGUGUAAAAGUAAACACUCUCUCCGAGAUCUCCAAUACCCAGCAAUGUGCCACCCUACAAAGAAG